rnacentral:rRNA from 1 species
CCCUUAGAUGUUCUGGGCCGCACGCGUGCUACACUGAGUGGAUCAGCGGGUCAGGUUGCGCGAAAGCGUUUCCUAAUCUUUAAAUCCGCUCGUGAUGGGGAUUGACGGUUGCAAUUUUCUGUCAUGAACGAGGAAUACCUUGUAAGCGCGGGUCAUCAUCCCGCGCUGAAUACGUCCCUGCCCUUUGUACACACCGCCCGUCGCUCCUACCGAUUGAGUGGUCCGGUGAGGCUUUGGGAUCUGAGCAAAGAGAGCGUUUCGCUCGUUUUGCCCGGAAAACUCAGUCGAACCUUAUCAUUUAGAGGAAGGAGAAGUCGUAACA